rnacentral:rRNA from 1 species
GCUGGGUGGAUUAGUGGCGAACGGGUGAGUAACACGUGAGUAACCUGCCCUUAACUCUGGGAUAAGCCUGGGAAACUGGGUCUAAUACCGGAUAGGAGCGUCCACCGCAUGGUGGGUGUUGGAAAGAUUUAUCGGUUUUGGAUGGACUCGCGGCCUAUCAGCUUGUUGGUGAGGUAAUGGCUCACCAAGGCGACGACGGGUAGCCGGCCUGAGAGGGUGACCGGCCACACUGGGACUGAGACACGGCCCAGACUCCUACGGGAGGCAGCAGUGGGGAAUAUUGCACAAUGGGCGCAAGCCUGAUGCAGCGACGCCGCGUGAGGGAUGACGGCCUUCGGGUUGUAAACCUCUUUCAGUAGGGAAGAAGCGAAAGUGACGGUACCUGCAGAAGAAGCACCGGCUAACUACGUGCCAGCAGCCGCGGUAAUACGUAGGGUGCGAGCGUUAUCCGGAAUUAUUGGGCGUAAAGAGCUCGUAGGCGGUUUGUCGCGUCUGUCGUGAAAGUCCGGGGCUUAACCCCGGAUCUGCGGUGGGUACGGGCAGACUAGAGUGCAGUAGGGGAGACUGGAAUUCCUGGUGUAGCGGUGGAAUGCGCAGAUAUCAGGAGGAACACCGAUGGCGAAGGCAGGUCUCUG